rnacentral:rRNA from 1 species
GGGGGGAUGCGCAGCUACACAUGCAGUCGAACGGUAACAGGAAGCAGCUUGCUGCUUUGCUGACGAGUGGCGGACGGGUGAGUAAUGUCUGGGAAACUGCCUGAUGGAGGGGGAUAACUACUGGAAAGGUAGCUAAUACCGCAUAACGUCGCAAGACCAAAGAGGGGGACCUUCGGGCCUCUUGCCAUCGGAUGUGCCCAGAUGGGAUUAGCUAGUAGGUGGGGUAACGGCUCACCUAGGCGACGAUCCCUAGCGGUCUGAGAGGAUGACCAGCCACACUGGAACUGAGACACGGUCCAGACUCCUACGGGAGGCAGCAGUGGGGAAUAUUGCACAAUGGGCGCAAGCCUGAUGCAGCCAUGCCGCGUGUAUGAAGAAGGCUUCGGGUUGUAAAGUACUUUCAGCGGGGAGGAAGGCGACAGGGUUAAUAACCCUGUCGAUUGACGUUACCCGCAGAAGAAGCACCGGCUAACUCCGUGCCAGCAGCCGCGGUAAUACGGAGGGUGCAGCGUUAAUCGGAAUUACUGGGCGUAAAGCGCACGCAGGCGGUCUGUCAAGUCGGAUGUGAAAUCCCCGGGCUCAACCUGGGAACUGCAUUCGAAACUGGCAGGCUAGAGUCUUGUAGAGGGGGGUAGAUUCCAGGUGUAGCGGUGAAAUGCGUAGAGAUCUGGAGGAAUACCGGUGGCGAAGGCGGCCCCCUGGACAAAGACUGACGCUCAGGUGCGAAAGCGUGGGGAGCAAACAGGAUUAGAUACCCUGGUAUCCACGCCGUAGACGAUGUCGACUUGGAGGUUGUGCCCUUGAGGCGUGGCUUCCGGAGCUAACGCGUUAAGUCGACCGCCUGGGGAGUACGGCCGCAAGGUUAAAACUCAAAUGAAUUGACGGGGGCCGCACAAGCGGUGGAGCAUGUGGUUUAAUUCGAUGCAACGCGAAGAACCUUACCUACUCUUGACAUCC